rnacentral:rRNA from 1 species
UACGUAGGGGGCAAGCGUUGUCCGGAUUUAUUGGGCGUAAAGAGCGUGUAGGCGGCCAUACAGGUCCGUUGUGAAAACUGGAGGCUUAACCUCCAGACGUCGAUGGAAACCGUAUGGCUAGAGUCCGGAAGAGGAGAGUGGAAUUCCUGGUGUAACGGUGAAAUGUGUUGAUAUCAGGAGGAACACCCAUGGCGAAGGCAGCAAACUGGGCAGCAACUGACGCUGAGGCGCGAAAGCGUGGGUAGCAAACAGG